GUAAUGCUCUUUCGGGUGGGGGGCGCUAAUUGAAGCUCUUGCCUAGGGUGGCAAACUACCUUGGCCCGGCCCUGGUAUGAGUCCCUCAUUUAAUUACUAUGGGGUUGGAAUGAUUAGCAUCAACAUUUUGACGGUGCACAUAAUAAAAAUGCUAAUUAUUCAAACACCAAACUGUAAGAGUUUAUUAUUACUGGUGUUAUUAUUUCUUUCAGCCCAUCGUUCCAAUUUUUUUUUGCCGUGUGGUUGUUAGGGUAAUUAAGCCAUAGUAUCCAGACCACAGCUGCAAUUGCAAGUCUGUGAAUACAUACCCCUAGCAUAUCAUUCCUGCAAGCCCCCUGCAGGACUGUCGAACACGGCGGCAUUUGUGCCCUAACAAAACCAUGGAUUUGUGGGCAAUCCGGCCUAAACACUAGAAGUACAGAAGCAGAAUGCAGUUUCCAGAGAUAAUGGUGGAUCCCCUCAUGUGUUUUACAUACAAAAUUCUACAGGAGUGUUCGUGUGGGAGGUGUUCAGCAAGGGCAAGAUACCAUUUGAACAUUUUUUCAACUCCGAGGCUGUGGAAAAAAUCUCAGCUGGACUGAGGCUCUUCAGACCCAAGAUGUCUUCUGAAAGAGUGUACAUGCUGAUGAACAACUGCUGGAAUAUGCCAGUAAGAAGCAGAAGAAAAGAGAUAAAGCAGAAUGGAUGGAAUUAAGAUCAUAAUACAGAAGAAGACAAGACAUUUCCCGGGACACUCUCAUGUACUUGGUGGUACACCCUUAAAGGCAUUGCUUUAAAGUACAAGACUGCCGUUUGGAGUUGGAGCAUUUUCCUGGUUCGCUACAACUGCGCAUGCGCCGAAAGUGAUGAAA